AACGAACGCUGGCGGCAUGCCUAACACAUGCAAGUCGAACGAAGUCUUCGGACUUAGUGGCGCACGGGUGCGUAACGCGUGGGAAUCUGCCCUUGGGUACGGAAUAACUCAGAGAAAUUUGUGCUAAUACCGUAUAAUGUCUUCGGACCAAAGAUUUAUCGCCCAACGAUGAGCCCGCGUAAGAUUAGCUAGUUGGUGGGGUAAAAGCCUACCAAGGCGACGAUCUUUAGCUGGUCUGAGAGGAUGAUCAGCCACACUGGGACUGAGACACGGCCCAGACUCCUACGGGAGGCAGCAGUGGGGAAUAUUGGACAAUGGGCGAAAGCCUGAUCCAGCAAUGCCGCGUGAGUGAUGAAGGCCCUAGGGUUGUAAAGCUCUUUUACCAGGGAUGAUAAUGACAGUACCUGGAGAAUAAGCUCCGGCUAACUCCGUG
rnacentral:rRNA from 1 species